rnacentral:rRNA from 1 species
GACGAACGCUGGCGGCGUGCUUAACACAUGCAAGUCGAACGGAAAGGCCCUGCUUUUGUGGGGUGCUCGAGUGGCGAACGGGUGAGUAACACGUGAGUAACCUGCCCUUGACUUUGGGAUAACUUCAGGAAACUGGGGCUAAUACCGGAUAGGAGCUCCUGCUGCAUGGUGGGGGUUGGAAAGUUUCGGCGGUUGGGGAUGGACUCGCGGCUUAUCAGCUUGUUGGUGGGGUAGUGGCUUACCAAGGCUUUGACGGGUAGCCGGCCUGAGAGGGUGACCGGCCACAUUGCGACUGAGAUACGGCCCAGACUCCUACGGGAGGCAGCAGUGGGGAAUAUUGCACAAUGGGCGGAAGCCUGAUGCAGCAACGCCGCGUGCGGGAUGACGGCCUUCGGGUUGUAAACCGCUUUCGCCUGUGGCGAAGCGUGAGUGACGGUAAUGGGUAAAGAAGCACCGGCUAACUACGUG